rnacentral:rRNA from 1 species
UACGUAGGGUGCAAGCGUUGUCCGGAAUUAUUGGGCGUAAAGAGCUCGUAGGUGGCCUGUCGCGUCGGCUGUGAAAACUCGGGGCUCAACUCCGAGCUUGCAGUCGAUACGGGCAGGCUAGAGUUCGGCAGGGGAGACUGGAAUUCCUGGUGUAGCGGUGAAAUGCGCAGAUAUCAGGAGGAACACCGGCGGCGAAGGCGGGUCUCUGGGCCGAUACUGACACUGAGGAGCGAAAGCGUGGGGAGCGAACAGG